rnacentral:rRNA from 1 species
GAUAGUGUUAACUUGUAGUGAUGAAAGAGUGUAAGUGUGAAAGAAUGAGAUUGAUAUUACCAUUGUGCGUUUUCCAAAGAUUCUUCACUACACAAAAUCCUUGAAU